GACGAACGCUGGCGGCGUGCCUAAUACAUGCAAGUCGAGCGGGCCUCCGGAGGUGCUUGCACCUCCGGAAGGCCAGCGGCGGACGGGUGAGUAACACGUGGGCAACCUGCCUUUGAGGCCGGGAUAACACCGGGAAACCGGUGCUAAUACCGGAUGCGUCCCCUUUCGCGCCUGCGAGAGGGGAGAAAGACGGUCUUUAAGGCCGUCGCUCAAAGAGGGGCCCGCGGCGCAUUAGCUGGUUGGUGGGGUAAGGGCCUACCAAGGCGACGAUGCGUUGCCGACCUGAGAGGGUGAUCGGCCACACUGGGGAUGGGACACGGCCCGGACUCCUGCGGGAGGCAGCAGUAGGGAAUCAUCCGCAAUAGGCGAAAGCCUGACGGUGCAACGCCGCGUGAGUGAGGAAGGUUUUCGGAUCGUAAAGCUCUGUUGUGAGGGAAGAACAGCUUCCGGAGGAAAUGCCGGAGGUUUGCCGGUACCUCACCAGAAAGCCCCGGCUAACUACGUGCCAGCCGCCGCAGUAA
rnacentral:rRNA from 1 species